GGUUAAGCGACUAAGCGUACACGGUGGAUGCCCUGGCAGUCAGAGGCGAUGAAGGGCGUGCUAUCUGCGAUAGCGCCGGUAAGGUGAUA
rnacentral:rRNA from 1 species